AGAGUUUGAUCCUGGCUCAGAAUGAACGUUGGCGGCGUGGAUUAGGCAUGCGAGUCGCGCGAGAAUCGUAACAAUACGAGGACAGCGGCGAAAGGGAGAGGAAUAAGUAGAAAUCUACCCUCGGGACGGGGAUAGCGGCGGGAAACUGCCAGUAAUACCCGAUAACGUCCUAGGACCAAAGGUGUGAUUCCGCCUGAGGAUGAGUCUACUUCCUAUUAGCUUGUUGGCGGGGUAAUGGCCCACCAAGGCAACGAUGGGUAGCAGGUGUGAGAGCAUGACCUGCCUCAUUGGGACUGAGACACUGCCCAGACACCUACGGGUGGCUGCAGUCGAGAAUCUUCGGCAAUGGACGAAAGUCUGACCGAGCGACGCCGCGUGCGGGAUGAAGGCCUUCGGGUUGUAAACCGCUGUCGUAGGGGAACAAAUGUACGGGGGUUCUCCCCUGUAUUCGAGUGAUCCUAGGAGGAAGGAGAGGCUAAGCUCGUGCCAGCAGCCGCGGUAAGACGAGCUCUCCAAACGUUAUUCGGUAUCACUGGGCUUAAAGAGUUCGUAGGCGGUCUGGUAGGUGAGGUGUGAAAUCCCCCGGCUCAACCGGGGAACUGCGCUUCAAACCGCCGGACUUGAGGGAGACAGAGGUGGGCGGAACAGAUGGUGGAGCGGUGAAAUGCGUUGAUAUCAUCUGGAACACCGGUGGCGAAAGCGGCCCACUGGGUCUUUUCUGACGCUGAGGAACGAAAGCUAGGGUAGCGAACGGGAUUAGAUACCCCGGUAGUCCUAGCCGUAAACGAUGAGCACUAGCC
rnacentral:rRNA from 1 species